rnacentral:misc_RNA from 1 species
CGACUUACGUCUGGUGCGGAGACCCGCUGACCGCUAGUAUUAAUUGAUGUUGCCUUAAUAAUCUUCACUCUCUCUCUCUCUCUCUCUGAAACGAUGGGCUGUUGCGGCGACAACGACGAGGAUGAUCCGAUCCCUAUCCUUACGCAGCCCCUCAACCCAGUGGAAUCUUCAACCGACAUAUCGGCUGAGACCCCAAUCACCAUCUCUCCAAUGAACUCCCACUUCUCGGCGCUCACGUGCCGGGACACACUCCGGCUGAUCUUCGAAAAGCUUCCGGUGGUGGACUUGGCUCGGGCGAGCUGCGUUUGCAGGGUGUGGAACUCGGUGGCGUCGGAUGGUGAAAUUGUGAGGAGCGCGUUUAUGAGUCCGUGGAAAUUGAAGGAGGUAAUAGGGAAGCCUGUGUCUGGAAGUUUUUGGAGAGAUAAUGGCAUCUGGAAGUUCUCUAUUUCGCAUAAGAUUGCAAGGGGGGAUACUGUUGCUAGUCUUGCGGUCAAGUAUUCGGUUCAGGUUAUGGACAUAAAACGGUUAAACAAUAUGAUGAGUGACCAUGGUAUACAUUCCAGGGAGAGAUUACUAAUCCCUAUAAGCAAUCCAGAAAUUCUCAUGAAUGGCACAUGCUACAUAGAGUUGGAUACCUAUGCAAAAAGGGAAGUGGCAGUGCUGUAUCUUGAGGGUGAACCUGACAGAAAGUUGAGGUGUUUGUCAAACUGGGCAACCUCUGACCGAGGCAAGAGAAGGGUUCUUGACUCUUUAAAGAGAAGUAUGCAAGUUGAUGAUGGGACUGCUCAAUAUUACUUGUCUAUUUCAAAUGGUGACCCCCGGGCUGCUAUCACAGAGCUCUCAGCAGACCUCAAGUGGGAGAGGCAAGCAGGGUUAGGUUAGUUGGAAAUCUGAAAUUGAUGAUGAAUUGAACAUGAAGAAGUAUCAUUCUGGAUCAAAGUUUUCACACUUCAGUUAUCCUUAAUAACAUCUUGUUGAGUGAGCAAAGAGCAAGUGUUAAUAUCAUAUUCAUGGUACUCGUGGUAAUCACUAUUUGACUCAGCAGUAAAGUUAUGAUCCUCUGUCUUCUGAUCAAGAUAAAGUAAGUGAUAGAUGUUUGCCUUGAUUUGGCCUACUUCAACUGCUUCAGUUUCCUUUGUUGCAUCUUACAAAUGCCUUGAGCUAAUGUGUUACUUGUAUUGUAUGUGUGUUUGUGG